UUACAAAUUCAGCCUCUGUCUUCUUGAGGAGCUUAACCGCCUAACACCACAGACGAGAGCUCCUGGAAAAAAACAAGUUCUGCUCGGGCAGCAGGAAGAGAGCUGACGCGCUUCAAACUGGUUGGUUUUGUUCCGGGGUUUGGCUCUUCCUCCAACUCUACGGCUGCAUCUACCUGAAAGGGACGGCUCGUUUUUUUUCUCCUCCUAACCGCCACUCCAGAGGUCAACUGUCCUUCAGCAGGAGCAGGAAAGAAGAAGACUAGCCAACGGGGAGUCAAGAGCUCUCAUACAAUGAUGCCUCUUGUCUUGGGUUUCUGACUCGGUGACCACACCUGGGAAAGACUGGGUAAAUUCACAAACGUGAUCCCUUCUUUGUCUUCAUUCUCCAUCUUUAAGACUUGAGCUGUCGUCAUAACCUGUUGCUCAGCGACGGUAGAGUUAAAACUUUAAGGACAUUUGUUCAUCGGCUAAGAUCAGGAAAUGUGCGGCAAACAAAUUAGGUCAUCGUACGAAGCCAUCUGCGAUUGUGUGCCGACAUAGGAGGGUCUAGGUAGUUUCGAUGGGAAGCGAAAAUAAUGCGUAUCGAAUUCCAGCUCCUUUUAACCAGAGAGAAAGAAGAGGAAACAAUAGAAGCCAACGCUCAUUCCUAAACUGGAUAGACCAGUUGGGGCAGGUAAAGGCAAACUGCCAGACUUGUCAAAGGAUAUGAGGACAGAGGCUGACUCCUUCUUUUAGAGUGUUAAAGUGUGCUUUACGAGGACACAACCACGGUAUGAAACUACUUUACAAAUCAAUAUUCUAAUAGUAACACCUGAUUAGUGUGUUUAGUGUGAACUUUUCUGAGUUCAGAACUCAUUUGGCAACUUUUCUGUACAACCUGUUGAACUGUAAAGCAUCGUUUAAUCUUUCAAGAUAUUCUUUAGGGUUUUUAUAUUUCGGUUUACCUGCUACUGCUUUCCUUUUUGGCUUUUAAGGUAGAGCUUUGAUAGUCUACUGCCUGUUUCAUGAGCUUUUGACAUGAAAAAAAAGGAAGUCUGUUAUGAAGUGGAUGUGUGUCGGACUUAAAAUGUCUGCUCAUGCGUUUCCCUUGCCUCUGAGGUUUGCUUAGGACAGACAGCAGCGUUGGACUUAUCAGAGCAGAUCAUUUCCACUACACAGAAAGCAUACAUAAUUGGUUUAAAGUUUAAAGUUUUCAAGCUCUUCAGAUCGUUUUAAGCGGACGAGGACUGUUGUAGUCUGGGAAGGAGAAGGGAAAAUGGAGGGAAAAUGUCGACCGCAUACUGUACAGCGGCGACUGCAGAGCGAGGUGGAGGAUUGUGAUUGGUGGAAAGAACAACAUUUGUGCAUUUCUUUCAUACACCUGAAUAGCUGCGAGUCACAUGAGUGCUCUGCCAGUGUAUGGCAGGCAGCAGGGCGGGAAGUGCAGAGUGGGAUUUCAACAGAAAGAGAGCUUUAAUGAUUGGAAGGCCAGACGAAACGGUGGGCUGAUUUGACGUUGUUUGUUCAUGUUUGAGUAACAGGUUUGAAGUAGGAGUGUGCAGGCCUCAUUGCCUCAUGGGGGUGAGAGGUUGAGUUAAAGCUGCAGUUUGAUUCAGCUGAUAGGGUGCAUGACAGUGCAUUAUGGGCCAGGGCCAUUUUAAAAAGUUAAUGCUAUGCUAACAUUUGAGAAUGCUAUUUACCCUUUUUGAUAAGAGGCCAUGAUAGUGAGGCAAUAUGAUUCAAUAUAUUUUCUUCUUACAGUUAGAAAUAAUAAUAAUAAUACGAAGAAUUUCCUAUUUUUGGCAACAUUGAUUCAACUUUAACAGGUGUAAUGUUAUUUUUGGUGCCUCCAGGGACAUGACAUCAUGCAUAUGAAAUUAUUCAUAGCAGUAUGAAUAGACAGAAUAUACACGUAAAAGCGGCCUGUCAGUAAGGUGAGGGGUGGCUUAAAUUAAAAUAUGUAAAAAGUUACUGAGAAGAAAAGGAAAAGUCCCUUUUGAUAAUCAAAUUGGUUGAAUAUUUUAGUGCUUCAUUUGAAAUAUUCAAAACCAAAAGGUAAAAGGACACUUAGCCACGGGGAAGGAGCUACUGUCUCUAAAAUGACAAAUGUAAAUCACUAAGUAUAUAUUUGAAGGCACAGCCGAGUAGCUGCAGUGGCACAUGGAUGAUAAGCAGUAUUGUGGCCUAAAUAUCAUGGUUACUAGGCCGUCCCUCUGCAGUCUGAAGGCCCAAUUAGGUGGCACUGAGAUAAGGUGCGGAGUUAAAUAAGGUUUUGGGUUUCCCUGCCAUUGUUUUCUCACAAAGACAGCAACUAUUGAUUAAGGGCCAGGCCAGUUUACCUAUCGGGCUGUUGACUUCACAGUAGAGUCACAUUCCAGCACAGAGGGCAGAGUUACCUGAUCACGCCUCACUUCCAACAGGCAAAAAGCGUGGGCAGCCGUAAGCGGUUAAGACUCCCACUGCACUGAGCACCGUGUACAACAAUGGGGAAAGCAGUUUUUAACCACAAGCAGAAGAAGAUGUGUUUGGACAAACGGAGGACAAAGACCUAGUUUGUUGGAUGUAGCUGGUUAGAUAUUCAGAAAGAGGGCCUGCAGCACUGGUUUAUAAUGCUGAUGAUUAACUAAAUAGAGUCUGGGAGAGCAGGUCUGCUUGGCUUUCUCAUUUCAUGGGGGCCUGACUGACCAGGAGGAAGACGGAGCGUUCUCAGGCAGCGGAGUGGAAAUUCAAGAUCUUUCUUUUUUUUUCUCUCUCUCUCUCUUUCUUUUUUCAGCCCACUCCCUCCAAACAUACUCACUUUCCUUUGGUUUUGUUACAUUCUUUCCUUGGGGUACCUUUCAUGACGGUAAGGUUACAGGUGCAUUCUCCAUUUUCCUUCUCCACCUUCUUUCCCUGAACUUUUCCCCUCCCUUAUACUCGCUUUUCUUUCUCUCUCCUUCUCCCUCCCCCUCUCCCUCACUCUCGUGCUCUACUUUUGCAUUGCUCGCAGGAUGACUGGAAACCUGUUCUUUCUUAAUGAAUGUCUCAUCUUUUCAUUUGAGCUUCAAUCUUUUGAUAGAAAGGUAGUCAUUUUGUAAAAGAUUUUAAAAAGAUUCGUAUUGCUUUAAACAAUCAAAUCUUUGUUGAAAGAAAAGGGGAACUCCCCAGUGUUAGCCUACGCGUCAUUUAAUGAAGUAUGUUGCAUAUCUAAUGUGACAUAAUAAAGUAAAGUGUCUAGUUAGACUUACUACAUAAUGCACUAUGAUAUUUAAUUAAUGUUUAAUUUAGAGGAUAAAAAUGCGCUUUAAAAUGUCCUUAUGGGGUGUGAGGAUUUCACGCGGUGUACCUGUGAAUGAUCCACGUUAUUCUGUAAACGAGGGCUGUUUCAGUGACCUUCUGCAUACACAGCGUCGACUCAGGUCGAGCUGAACAGCAUUCCAUCAGCCUUUCAUCACUCAGCAAACACAAAGACAACGGCCUGAGAGGUCCACCAACGGAAAACAGAAAAAAAAAUUUGGCUUUUCCUUUCUUCCACACCAUAAAACAUCUGUCGAAACAGACUUGACAACAUUGCUUUACUCGAGACAAAACAGUAUGUUGCAAUGUAAAAGACAAAAAAAAAAAAAAAAAAAAAAAAAAAAAUCUGCCUGGGUGUGAUGAAACAGAAACAGCUCCCCGAGGCUGAUGUGCUUUUAACUCUGCGACGUUUUUAAAUGAAUGCGUGCAAUGUGUGGUGUUUGAAAUUAUUAACUGCCAUGUAUUGUGUGAAGAGCAGGCCUCCCAACCUUGCCGUGCCAUAGAUUUAGACUAGUCGGAACAGGUUUGGGCAAUCAUUAACAACUACUGUGGCCCAGUCUUCUGUGACAGCGAGUUUAAGAUGAAAACCACAACAAGGGCUCAGCAGUUAUUCUAUGGAGAGGUGCUCUCCAAAUAUGGGCCUCCCGACUCCUAUUUACAGUGCUAUGUUUCGGCUAAACAUGGCUCAGUUUUACUUCAAACUGUGCCGCCAUAAAACUACAUACCUUAAGUAGAUAUUUUAGGCUAUACUUUGUGUUGAAUACUCACUUACAUUCAUGUGUACUCUAAUUAUUUAAGGUUGAGCUCCCUUUUUUUUCUUCCAGACAAAGGUAUAUACACUUAGAUGUACUACUCACUGUUAAAUCUGCCUCAUUCAUUCAUUCAUUCAUUCAUUAAGCUUUAAUAACUAUCACUGAUAUCACAUUAUGUUCUACAACUAAAGAUAUCCCAACCCCUUGUAUCAGUGUAGUAAUGAGAUGUUAUGUUUGGGUGAUUAUCUCCAUCUUACGAGGCAGCAUUGGAUAUCAUCACUUUCUCUAAUACUGCCUGGUAAUGAUGAUGAUAGUCAUCUGCCGACUGCAAACAGCUUUAGCAACGUUAGCAUCAGUGUGCUCUGGGCCUGGGCCCCAGACCGGCUCGAACACUUCAGCAGUAGCAGCAGAAAUGGCUCUCAGGAUCCAUCUUACCUGACAGUGCUGGAUUGUACAACUGUUGUUCUAACACUGUCUGGUAACGAUGUUUCCUGGGUGACUCUGUGGUCUCCGGUGAUAGUUGCUCAUCAAGUGUUAAAUCCAAAAAUGUGAAUGACUGUAGGACUCUUUAGAUGUUCAAGGGUAAGAAGCAGGCCUGGCUUUAUGUUUUGGGGUUGCAAAACAGUUGUUAGGUGUCUUACUUUUUACUCUGAAGUAAAUUCCAAGAAAGGGUUAACUUUUUUUGUUUGCCAGACACCUGUCUGUACAGAUGUCAGAGGCUGUAUGCCGAUCAGUCACACAGAAAAAGGUUACAGGUGAUGUCAGACAGUAUUAGUUUAUGUAAAUCUACAUGAACAUUUACAGUAUGUCUUAUUUUGAAAACACUUUGAGAUUGCUAAAGGAGAAAGAGGAGGUCUUUAAUCCGGUAAUGGUUCUAAAGGUCAACUUUUAUGUUUUUUUCACUUCUUUACAAACUUCCCUGUCCUUUUUUUUUUUUUUUUUACUUUUAUGGCAAACCCACCCCACCCAAGUUAAAGAAUAGCAGUCGGUUGAUGGUUCCACCGGUCCUGCAGGGCCUUAUUUCCCUGUUCCCUCCCCUUAACAGUGUUGGUCUUUGUGUUGUGUGGCAGUGAUUGGUCCGACUAGCCUUACCUGCGUGGCACAUCCUGAAACUGACACGAGCUCACCUGAGAGUGCUUUACUGGUAAAAAAAAACGGAGAUACAGAUGCAGUGGCCUCCUCCCAGCUUUCUAAGCUUUUAUCCACAAAAAGACAAAUAAUACUUUAGUGCUUUAAGAGGAGGCAAAAUGGACUCUCAACAAUAAAUAAAUAAUGAUGAUAAACUUUUAGAAUAUUACUGAAGUGAAGCUGUUAGACAUUUUUCAUCAAUGUCUGGACUAAAAUGUGAAUUUAAUGGGCAAAGCCUUCAAACAGACUUGAGAAACAGGCAAAUAAUAGACAUGGAGCAAGCAGAGGCCUAGUGUUUGUUUAAGGAGGGAGAAUUACCCCGCAAAUAUUGAGCCGCACCUUUAUUUGCCCACCUAGCUCCAUUAUCCAAGCCACAGAAACAUGAAAUAGCUUUUUUCUCCUCUCUCCAGUUGUCCCUUUUCUUUGUGUUGGUGUCACACAUUUGUGUAUUCAUGUAAUAAUAUAUAGGGACUGGAACAGAGAGAAUUUACGGAGCUCACUUUUGCUUCAUGCCUCGGUCUGUUUGCUCAUGGCUAUAUUCUUUUCUCUGCACGCUUGGCCAGUUUAAAUGUAUGAAUGAGUGAAACGUGUAGCAUGUACAGAAUCUGCGAUUGCAACAAAAGAGGAACUGCUCAUUUCAACCUGUUUCUGCUACACUGCUCUGUUCCCUCCAGCUCUCUUCUUCCUCUUUGCACAGGUGAAAGCUCAGAGGUCAUCCUUCUCAGCCUGUUGAUAGGCGUCUUACCAGACAUGGUUAGAUGUAAUUAUUGGUGUCUAAUACUGUCUGGUAAUGCCGUCCAUUAAAUGGCAUUACCUUCCGCUCUCUUACUUCCCCUCCCUCUCUCGCUCUCGUGCAUCUGACAUGCACUGUAUUAUUGACAAAGGGCAGUCACACAUCACCAUAUUUAUAGCGGUGGCAGAUGGGGCUGAAUGAUGAUGACUAUGGAACUAUGAUCCUUGCACUGGAAGAGUGAUUGAUUUCUUGGGGUUUCUUCCACGUGACUUGAGUCAAAGUUUCUUCACUGAGCAGCAGUAUUGGAUAUUCUUCUUGUCGUAGGCUUCCUUGAUGAAUGCUGUGCCGUAAAAUUAGCCUCUGUCAGGAAUGUUAAUGUGAAUGCCAUGUAAAAAAAAAAAAAAAAAAAAAAAAGGUUUCUCGAAAAUGCUGUGACUUUUAUCCGUUGAAAGAUCUGCUUUCUUCCUCUUACUGCAAUAACUGAAUUCCUCCAGGGGACUUGGCUUUUGUCCAGGUACAGUAAAACAAUGCACACAGUUCAUUAUCUGUGACACAAUCUGUACAUCAUGUUCAGUGUAUUAACUGUAAUGUGAUUUUAUGAAAUGUAAAAAAACAGAUUCAAUAAAGUGGGGUGAAAUUUAAAA